GGUCUUAUAGUUUAUAAAAAACUUUGAAUUGCAAAUUCAAGAAAAGGUGUUCUUAAGACUU
rnacentral:tRNA from 1 species